rnacentral:tRNA from 1 species
UAACUGAUGGUCUUUUAGUUAAGACUCUGUGCUUCCAAUGCAGGGGGCACAGGUUCGACCCCUGCUCAGAGAA